rnacentral:tRNA from 1 species
AUCAUUCUGGCAGAUUAAAGUGCAGUAAAUUUAGAAUUUAAACAUACAUAAGUGAAUGAUA